GAUGAACGCUGGCGGCGUGCCUAACACAUGCAAGUCGAGCGAUUUACUUCGGUAAAGAGCGGCGGACGGGUGAGUAACGCGUGGGUAACCUGCCCUGUACACACGGAUAACAUACCGAAAGGUAUGCUAAUACGAGAUAAUAUGCUUUUAUCGCAUGGUAGAAGUAUCAAAGCUUUUGCGGUACAGGAUGGACCCGCGUCUGAUUAGCUAGUUGGUGAGGUAACGGCUCACCAAGGCGACGAUCAGUAGCCGACCUGAGAGGGUGAUCGGCCACAUUGGAACUGAGACACGGUCCAAACUCCUACGGGAGGCAGCAGUGGGGAAUAUUGCACAAUGGGCGAAAGCCUGAUGCAGCAACGCCGCGUGAGAGAUGAAGGCCUUCGGGUCGUAAAGCUCUGUCCUCAAGGAAGAUAAUGACGGUACUUGAGGAGGAAGCCCCGGCUAACUACGUG
rnacentral:rRNA from 1 species